rnacentral:lncRNA from 1 species
CUCGUUCAUGCCCAGCUUUCCUCUGCUGGGACCCAAACAGGUGCUUGCCUAAAACCACUGGAUGAUGACUGGCAUAGGGCUUUGUGAGCAAAUUUGUGAUGUGGGCCUACCUAGCUCAAAAAUGCAAAGCUAGCUUACUGAGUACAGCUCAGUCCUCAGCACAAGCAGCAUCUGGGGCUGGAUGAUGUGAGGUUGUGCUACAACACAGAAAGAUGCAAGUGAGCUGAACACCCAUCCCAGAAGAACUGGAGUUCCCCACUUGGGGAGAAGCAGUGGGAAGCACAGAGGCACCAACGUGACCUGGCCUCCUUCUCUUCUCACCUCCUCACUGUGAGCAUAAUGGGAGAAUCUGGUCUUUUACUGGUCUUGUUUUGGUGACACGAACUGCGAGCUGGUGGAUUUUGGUUUAGUUGAUUCAUCUUCUUUUUAUUUUGCACAUAUUCUCCAGAGAAGAGUAUGAAACAAGGAAGAGAGGGAUAAGCACCAGAGUAUAGAAACUUCAAAUUACUUCCACAUUUAGACCGCAUGAUAGAAUGCUAGAGCACAUUCAGCAUGCAACAGGCACGUGCCAAAUUAUUUUGGGAAGUGUGAAAAACGCAUGUUGUUAAUAUUGAACAAAUGAUCUUCUGUGGAUGCUGGGGUUUUCACUUUCUGUUCCCAAUAAAUCUUCCUUUCUCUUCACCAGUUUUACUCCCCCUGUCCUGAUACAGGCAAAGUGUCAGCUGAGGUCAGCCAAGUCCUGAAUCGAGAUGACUGCAGUCGGUGCCUGAUGUGUACAAACUGCCAGAUGCCAGCAGGAGAAAUUAAAGAGAACAGUGAAAAUAUCCACUGUGUGCAGGAAAAAGUAUGCCCAGGUCUGGUGGACAAGAGAAAAUUCCAUCUGCAGAGCAGUACUGUGAUGGUAAACAGAGAGCAAGAGUGUAUCUGUGAGUACUGUGAGAUUGUGAGGGGGAGGAUGCACCGGCAAUAUUCAUCCCUGCCCAUACCUAGCAGCUCCUAGAAGAGACUUGUGGUCUCUUGCCUUCUUUGAAAACACUUUGUAUAGCUAUUGUGCUAAUAAAGUCAUAUUGAAGUGGGAGCUAGAAUGGAGA